ensembl:misc_RNA Vault Vault RNA
GGGCUGGCCAUAGCUCAGCAGUUCCUUCGACUACAGAGUGAUCAAAUUACCUUCUCUGAGGCUAGUUCAAGACCCUCGGGCACUCUCCAGUCCUCCA